AGAGUUUGAUCCCGGCUCAGAAUCAACGCUGGCGGCGCGCUUAACACAUGCAAGUCGAACGAGAAAGGGGAGCAAUCCCUGAGUAAAGUGGCGCACGGGUGAGUAACACGUGGGUAAUCUACCUGUUAGUGGGGAAUAACUUUGGGAAACCGAAGCUAAUACCGCAUAAGUCCGAGAGGAGAAAGUCGCAAGACGCUGACAGAAGAGCCCGCGGCCGAUUAGCUAGUUGGUGAGGUAAUGGCUCACCAAGGCUACGAUCGGUAGCCGGCCUGAGAGGGCACACGGCCACACUGGCACUGAAACACGGGCCAGACUCCUACGGGAGGCAGCAGUGGGGAAUCUUGCACAAUGGGGGAAACCCUGAUGCAGCGACGCCGCGUGAGCGAUGAAGCCCUUCGGGGUGUAAAGCUCUUUCGGCAGGGACGAUAAUGACGGUACCUGCAGAAGCAGCUGCGGCUAACUACGUGCCAGCAGCCGCGGUAAUACGUAGGCAGCAAGCGUUGUUCGGAAUUACUGGGCGUAAAGAGUGCGUAGGCUGUUUGUCAAGUUCGGUGUGAAAUCUCCUGGCUCAACUGGGAGGGUGCGCCGGAAACUGGCAGACUAGAGUGUGGGAGAGGAAAGUGGAAUUCCUGGUGUAGCGGUGAAAUGCGUAGAUAUCAGGAGGAACACCGGUGGUGAAGACGGCUUUCUGGACCAUAACUGACGCUGAGGCACGAAAGCGUGGGGAGCAAACAGGAUUAGAUACCCUGGUAGUCCACGCCCUAAACGAUGCGAACUUGGU
rnacentral:rRNA from 1 species